rnacentral:rRNA from 1 species
GACGAACGCUGGCGGCGUGCCUAAUACAUGCAAGUAGAACGCACAGUUUAUACCGUAGCUUGCUACACCAUAGACUGUGAGUUGCGAACGGGUGAGUAACGCGUAGGUAACCUGCCUGGUAGCGGGGGAUAACUAUUGGAAACGAUAGCUAAUACCGCAUAAUAUUAAUUAUUGCAUGAUAAUUAAUUGAAAGGUGCAAUUGCACCACUACCAGAUGGACCUGCGUUGUAUUAGCUAGUAGGUGAGGUAACGGCUCACCUAGGCGACGAUACAUAGCCGUCCUGAGAGGGUGAUCGGCCACACUGGGACUGAGACACGGCCCAGACUCCUACGGGAGGCAGCAGUAGGGAAUCUUCGGCAAUGGACGAAAGUCUGACCGAGCAACGCCGCGUGAGUGAAGAAGGUUUUCGGAUCGUAAAGCUCUGUUGUAAGAGAAGAACGGGUGUGAGAGUGGAAAGUUCACACUGUGACGGUAUCUUACCAGAAAGGGACGGCUAACUACGUG